rnacentral:tRNA from 1 species
AUUUAAAUAGCUUAAUUUUAGAGCAUUGUUUUGAAGUUACAAGGGUAAUAUUUAUUAUUUUUAAAUA